rnacentral:SRP_RNA from 1 species
GCUGGGUGUGGUGGUGUGUGCCUAUAAUCCCAGCUACUUGGGAGGCUGAGGCAGGAGAAUCACUUGAACCCAGGAGGCAGAGGUUGCAGUGAGCCAAGGUUGUGCCAUUGCACUCCAGCCUGGGUGACAGAGUGAGAUCCUGUCUCAA